rnacentral:rRNA from 1 species
AGAGUUUGAUCCUGGCUCAGGACGAACGCUGGCGGCGUGCUUAACACAUGCAAGUCGAGCGGAAAGGCCCUUCGGGGUACUCGAGCGGCGAACGGGUGAGUAACACGUGAGUAACCUGCCCUUGGCUCUGGGAUAGCUCCGGGAAACCGGAAUUAAUACCGGAUAUGACUUCGGCCGACAUCGGCUGCGGUGGAAAGAUUUAUCGGCCAGGGAUGGGCUCGCGGCCUAUCAGCUUGUUGGUGGGGUAACGGCCUACCAAGGCGACGACGGGUAGCCGGCCUGAGAGGGCGACCGGCCACACUGGGACUGAGACACGGCCCAGACUCCUACGGGAGGCGGCAGUGGGGAAUAUUGCGCAAUGGGCGAAAGCCUGACGCAGCGACGCCGCGUGGGGGAUGAAGGCCUUCGGGUUGUAAACCCCUUUCGGCAGG